rnacentral:rRNA from 1 species
CUGGGGAGUACUGUAGUAACAGAGGGUCUGAUUCUGGCUCAGAUUGAACGCUGGCGGGAUGCUUUACACAUGCAAGUCGAACGGCAGCACGGACUUCGGUCUGGCGGGCGAGUGGCGAACGGGUGAGUAAUGUAUCGGAACGUGCCUAGUAGCGGGGGAUAACUACGAAAGCGUAGCUAAUACCGCACACCGGGGAAAGCGGGGGCACCUUCGGCCUCGCACUAUUAGAGCGGCCGGGAUAUCGGAUUAGCCAGGCUGGUGGGGUAACGGGUCGUUUGGGCGACGCAUCCGUAGGCUGGUUUGAGGACGACCAGCCACACUGGGACUGAGACACGGCCCAGACUCCUACGGGAGGCAGCAGUGGGGAAUUUUUGACAAUGGGAAAUCCCUGAUCCAGCCAUCUUAUGUGUGCGAUGAAGGCUCUCGGGUUGUAAAGCACUUCUUUGGCAGGGAAAGAAACGGCACGGGAUAAUACCCCGUGCAACUGACGGUACCUUGCAGAAUAAGCACCCGGCUAACUACGUGCCAGCAGCCGCGGUAAUACGUAGGGUGCAAGCGGUUAAUCGGAAUUACUCAAGUAAAGCGUGCGCAGGCGGUUCGGAAAAAGAAAGAUGAAAUCCCAGAGCUUAACUUUGGAACUGCAUUUUUAACUACCGAGCUAGAGGUCAGAGGAGGAAAUCGCGUGUAGCAGUGAAAUGCGUAGAUAUGCGGAGGAACACCGAUGGCGAAGGUAGCUCGGGGAUAACACUGACGCUCAUGCACGAAAGCGUGGGGACAAGAGAUUAGAUACCCCUGGUAGUCCACGCCCUAAACGAUGUCAACUAGCUGUUGGGGCCUUCGGCCUGGUAGCGCAGCUAACGGUGAAGCGACCGCCUGGGGAGUACGGUCGCAAGAUUAAAACUCAAAGGAAUUGACGGGGACCCGCACAAGCGGUGGAUGACAGAUGAAUUGAUGUAAACGCGAAAACCUUACCUACCCUUGACAUGUCUGAAUCCCGAAGAGAUUUGGGAGUGCUCGUGGCAGAACCGCCAGGUGCUGCAUGGCUGUCGCCGCCCGUGUCGUGAGAUGUUGGGUUAAGUCCCGCAACGAGCGCAACCCUUGUCAAUAGUUGCCAUGAAAGGGCACUCCGCAUCGAGACUGCCGGUGACAAACCGGAGUGAAGGUGGGGAUGACGUCAAGUCCUCAUGGCCCUUAUGGGUAGGGCUUCACACGUCAUACAAUGGUCGACAGGAGGUCGCCAACCCGCGAGGGGAGCCAACCCCAGAAACCCGAUCGUAGUCCGGAUCGCAGUCUGCAACUCGACUGCGUGAAGUCGGAAUCGCUAGUAAUCGGCGGAUCAGCAUGUCGCGGUGAAUACGUUCCCGGUCUUGUACACACCGCCCGUCACACUGCUGGAGUGGGUUUUUACCAGAGUAGUUAGCCUAACUGGGGAGGGCGAUUACCACGGUAGGAUUCAUGACUGGGGUGAAGUCGUAAUAAGGUAG